GUGAAAUUCCAAUCGAGCCCGGAGAUAGCUGGUUCUCCCCGAAAUAGCUUUAGGGCUAGCCUCAAGGUGAGAGAUACGGAGGUAGAGCACUGAAUGUCCUAGGGGGUAUUGCACCUACCGAAGACUAUCAAACUCCGAAUGCCGUCAUCUUAUACUUGGGAGUCAGACUGUGGGUGAUAAGAUUCAUAGUCGAAAGGGCAACAGCCCAGAUCGUCAGCUAAGGUCCCUAAAUGUAAGUUAAGUGGUAAAGGAUGUGGGAUUGCACAGACAACCAGGAUGUUGGCUUAGAAGCAGCCACUCAUUCAAAGAGUGCGUAAUAGCUCACUGGUCGAGUGAUCCUGCGCCGAAGAUUUCCGGGGCUAAAACUUACUACCGAAGCUACGGCAUCAGUAAUGAUGGGUAGGGGAGCUUCCCAUACGGGUUGAAGCAUGACCGUAAGGACAUGUGGACAGUAUGGGAGUGAGAAUGUUGGCAUGAGUAGCGAGAUGUGGGUGAGAAUCCCACAGGCCGUAAACCCAAGGUUUCCAGGGGAAGGUUCGUCCGCCCUGGGUUAGUCGGGACCUAAGCUGAGGCCGAAAGGCGUAGGUGAUGGACAACAGGUUGAUAUUCCUGUAC
rnacentral:rRNA from 1 species